ACGCCGCGUGAGUGAGGAAGGCCCUUUGGGUUGAAAGCUCUGUUGCCGGGGAAGAAAGUUAGUGUAAGGAAAUGUGCAUUAAUUGACGGUACCUGGUGAGGAAGCACUGGCUAACUACGUGCCAGCAGCCGCGGUAAUACGUAGAGUGCAAGCGUUGUCCGGAAUCAUUGGGCGUAAAGGGUACGCAGGCGGAUAUACAAGUCAAAUGUGAAAGGUGUAGGCUUAACCUACAGAUUGCGUUUGAAACUGUAUAUCUUGAGAGCAGCAGAGGAAGGCGGAAUUCCUGGUGUAGUGGUGAAAUACGUAGAUAUCAGGAAGAACACCAGUGGCGAAGGCGGUCUUCUGGGCUGCAUCUGACGCUCAUGUACGAAAGCUGGGGUAGCAAACGGGAUUAGAUACCCCGGUAGUCCCAGCUGUAAACGAUGGUCACUAGGUGUUGGAGGUUCGAAUCCUUCAGUGCCGGAGUUAACGCAUUAAGUGACCCGCCUGGGGAAUACGGUCGCAAGACUGAAACUCAAAGGAAUUGACGGGGGCCCGCACAAGCGGUGGAGCAUGUGGUUUAAUUCGAUGCAACGCGAAGAACCUUACCGAGAAAUGACCAUCCCGUGACCUACUUGUGAAAGCAAGGUUUAAUGUUUACACCUAACGGAAACAGGUGGUGCAUGGCUGUCCUUCACCUCAUGUCGGGAAGAUGUUGGGUUAAAGUCCCGCAACGAAGCGCAAACCCUUGCCCUUUGGUUUGCCAGAAAGAAGAGUUUGGGAACCCCCAAGGAAACGCCCGGGGAAA
rnacentral:rRNA from 1 species